rnacentral:rRNA from 1 species
GACGAACGCUGGCGGCGUGCCUAAUACAUGCAAGUUGAGCGAUGAAGAUUGGUGCUUGCACCAAUUUGAAGAGCAGCGAACGGGUGAGUAACGCGUGGGGAAUCUGCCUUUAAGCGGGGGACAACAUUUGGAAACGAAUGCUAAUACCGCAUAACAACUUUAAACAUAAGUUUUAAGUUUGAAAGAUGCAAUUGCAUCACUCAAAGAUGAUCCCGCGUUGUAUUAGCUAGUUGGUGAGGUAAAGGCUCACCAAGGCGAUGAUACAUAGCCGACCUGAGAGGGUGAUCGGCCACAUUGGGACUGAGACACGGCCCAAACUCCUACGGGAGGCAGCAGUAGGGAAUCUUCGGCAAUGGACGAAAGUCUGGCCGAGCAACGCCGCGUGAGUGAAGAAGGUUUUCGGAUCGUAAAACUCUGUUGGUAGAGAAGAACGUUGGUGAGAGUGGAAAGCUCAUCAAGUGACGGUAACUACCCAGAAAGGGACGGCUAACUACGUG